ACAUGUYUUAAAGAUAAUAAUUUUAAGUCUGAUCUGCUCCAUGAAAUAUUUUUAAAUAGCUGCAGAAUCCUAACUGUAUGAAAGUAGCAUAAUCAAUAGUUUUUUAAUUAAAAGCUGGAAUGAAUGAUUUGAUAAGGUAAUUAUUGUCUCAAAUUUAUUGGAAUUAGAAUUUUUUUUUUAGUAAAAAUACUAAAGUUUAUUUAAAAGACGAGAAGACCCUAUAGAUUUUUAUAAUAUUAAUAUUAAUUUAUUAUAAAUUUAAAUUUAUUAUUAAUAUUAUUAUUAUUAGGUUGGGGAAAUUAUUAAAUUAAUUAAAUUUUAAUUUAUUUAUAUUUAUAUAUAUAUAUAUAUACAAUAAUUAAUGGAUAUUAGAUCUUAAAUUUUUAAAUUAUUAGAAUAAAAUACCUUAGGGAUAACAGCGUAAUUUUUUUGGAGAGAUCUUAUUGAUAAAAAAGUUUGCGACCUCGAUGUUGAAUUAAGAUAAAAUUUUAAUGUAGAAGUUAAAAAUUUUUGGUCUGUUCGACCAUUAAAAUCUUACG
rnacentral:rRNA from 1 species